rnacentral:rRNA from 1 species
UACGUAGGGUGCAAGCGUUAAUCGGAAUUACUGGGCGUAAAGCGUGCGCAGGCGGUGAUGUAAGUCAGGUGUGAAAUCCCCGGGCUUAACCUGGGAACUGCAUUUGAGACUGCAUCGCUGGAGUGCGGCAGAGGGGGAUGGAAUUCCGCGUGUAGCAGUGAAAUGCGUAGAUAUGCGGAGGAACACCGAUGGCGAAGGCAAUCCCCUGGGCCUGCACUGACGCUCAUGCACGAAAGCGUGGGGAGCAAACAGG